rnacentral:rRNA from 1 species
GAUGAACGCUGGCGGCGUGCCUAAUACAUGCAAGUCGAGCGAACAGACGAGGAGCUUGCUCCUCUGACGUUAGCGGCGGACGGGUGGGUAACACGUGGAUAACCUACCUAUAAGACUGGGAUAACUUCGGGAAACCGGAGCUAAUACCGGAUAAUAUAUUGAACCGCAUGGUUCAAUAGUGAAAGACGGUUUUGCUGUCACUUAUAGAUGGAUCCGCGCCGCAUUAGCUAGUUGGUAAGGUAACGGCUUACCAAGGCAACGAUGCGUAGCCGACCUGGGAGGGUGAUCGGCCACACUGGAACUGAGACACGGUCCAGACUCCUACGGGAGGCAGCAGUAGGGAAUCUUCCGCAAUGGGCGAAAGCCUGACGGAGCAACGCCGCGUGAGUGAUGAAGGUCUUCGGAUCGUAAAACUCUGUUAUUAGGGAAGAACAAAUGUGUAAGUAACUAUGCACGUCUUGACGGUACCUAAUCAGAAAGCCACGGCUAACUACGUG